GGCUUAACCGUUACAAUUUAAUCCGUCGCAAUCCUUACAAUAAACCAUUAACACAGUUAUGUUUUAUCAUACAUAUUUGAUAUUAGUGACCUUGCAAUAGUAGUUAAGUUUUCAUAUAUAUUUUUUAUAUUUGCAUAAAUGUAAAUAUGCGAUAUUAAUGGUAGGAUACAUUCCCUCAGGAUUUUGAAGAACGGGAGGCCUGUAUCGGUUGGGGGGGGGCAUUCUUUUAGCCAUCCCGUCGAUAUUACAGGUCCGUUGGCGUAGCUGGGAGCCGGACGAAACGCGUUCCUUCGGAGUGGGCAGAGAGAGCAGGUUGACCCCGUCACGGCCCCCUGUAUCACCGUGGGGACUGCAGCCGCCUCAGCAAAAAACGACCGGGAGGUGGGAAGGGCACAGCACAUGGAGUGCCGUGGUCCUCAGAACAUGGGGUUACCAGGGUCAUCGGUGCUGAUCCUGGAUCGUGAGCUGAGCUGUUCCUGGGGCCGCUGCAAAGGGUAGUGGAUCGCACCCUGCGCUAUGGACCCAGUUACCAGAAUUUCAGUACCACUGACGGUCAACAGUCCUGGGUCUUCCGUGGGUCGACUCAAACUCAGAGGACCUCCAUAAACCACCCGCCUGGCGCCGCUUCUGCAUCGUCCACGGCCCUCGGCUGCAGCAUUACACAUGGGUAAAGUGCGGUGAGGCCUUCCAAGAUGUUUGUCCGGAGCCAUGGUGGCUUGUCUUCCCUGUUCAUGGGACUGGCUUCACUGGCAUCAUCUACAGUCUGUGCUGGAAAGCUGCCAUAGAGCACAAAAAGAGAAGCAGAAGAAGAUGGUUUAGACAUUGAAGGUUUCACCCACCAGAAUGCAGCGUACAGCGCUUGUGCACUCAAGGCUUUCUAGGUUCCUGCACAAUGUUCUUACCUUCCAAGCUACGAUUACGACACACAUACCUCGACAUUGUCUCAGAAAGAUGGAUAUGCAUUUGAAGAUUCUUUAGUUAUUUUUUUCAUCACUGCCUUGUGGUAGGUGUAGAGAUAUCAUAGUGUGAACUGAUACUGCUGAGAUCCUAAUUUAUACGCCAGGUAGCUGAUUCAUCUUCUUGGUUCUUUCGUGACUUUACCGACUUUACCGAAAGAACCAAGAAGAUGAAUCCCUGCAGUCACGAAAGCUUUAAAUCAAAGGUAGCUGAUUGAGAUAAAACUGGGCUUUAAAGUGAAGCGAGUUUGUUUUAAUUAAAUCCUAGUUCUGAGAGUUAUGUGAUGGAAGUCAUAUAUGUUUCCAUGGACCAUUGUCUAACAUGGGGUGAUGCUGCAAGAGAAUGGGCAUGGAUGAAUAAUUUUGGAGCAUGAUGCUUAAUGCACAUGAGUUAAUUGUAUCAUCGAUGAAGCUUGAAAAUGUGUGCCAGACUGGCAAACGACACGUCAAUUAGUUGUGUGUAGCUACUAGAUAAGAGCUUUUUGUUUCAGUUUGUUUUUCUUCAAGUCGCUUUAACAUGAGGGACUGACUUUUCCAAAUUUUCCCCAAAAAGUUAUUUCUGCAAUGAUAUUUUUUUGUGACGAUAGGCCCACAGUGAUGACAUCACCUUUAUUGCGUUAUUGAAGAACAAAACACGAGGAUGUCUUCACAAUUCUGGCUAUUGACUGAUGAAGCUGGUUGUAAUCAGCGAAAUAUUGUUCUCCAAUGGUAAAUGUUGUGGGUUUACUCCAAAACACUGGUGUGCUGAAGUAGUCACGUACUGGAACAAACCUUGGCUGUGUGGGGUAGUGGUGGGUUUAACAACACAUUUAUAUUUAUUCAAUCUAUCCCAAAAAUACCUUUAUUAUGGACAUUGCUUUAUAUGCGGGGUAGAUAGGGAGGGGUGUGACAUGUGAACUCGCCUAACAAAGCGCCAUUAUAGAAGCCUUGCACCAAGACACAGCGAUCAGCCCCAUGGAACGCAGAACGGCCAUCAUAACGGUCUUGUAGACUGCGUCCACAGACAAGGAAGGAGCAAACCACAUUCAGCAAGUUAACCCCAGUAAAAUAUCAACAAAAUAUCAACUCUCAUUUCUAAUUAGUGAGGGUUAGGGACUUACAAAGUUAGGGUUUGGAGUUGGGGCUAUGUUAGGGUUUAGAGUUACAGAUAGGGUUUGGAGUUAAGGCUAGAGUAGGGUUUGGCAACUAAAAUAACAGCCAUUUUUGUCGAAUUCGUAAAAAUAUUUUUCAAUGCACAUGAAUACGAGAUGGUAUUUAAUAAAUAACUUUAUGACGCAAUUCUUUAAGGGCCACAUACCUUUCCUGAGCCACAGGUUUCCAACCCCUGUGGGACAGGGAUAAUGAUAUUUUUGGAUUGCACUCUCAUGUUCACGUCCUUUGGAUUGCACUCAUGUUCACGUCGUUUGGAUUGCUCUCUCAGGGUCCUAAUCUGUCAUUGACACUGCUGUUGUGCGCAUAUGCGGGCAUGAUACUCUUAUGCAGAGACGGAAGCUCAUGCUAAUCUCCCUCCCUAAUCCCUCUCUCCCUAAUAUCCCCCAUUAACAAAUCUGAAGUGCUUGCGUCCGUGGAUGGAAUUCCUUUCCAGCUCAGACCCCGCUUGCUUGCCAAUCGCCACAUAAAUUAACUGUGUUGUAACUGCUCUCUUGCUGGUUCAGCAGUUACACUGCUGGAUUAUAUUUUUUCCGCCUGAGGACGACCGCUUGUGUUGCGAUCGAAACGUUGUGAUUUAUUUUAUUUUAUACCUACGUGACUUUACCGAAAGAACCAAAAGAGUAUGGAUUCCUGCAGUCACGAAAGCUUCAAAUCAAGAUUGAUAAUGAUAUUCUUAUUACCUGGAGGUUUUUGGGCCACGUUAGGUGCCUGAAGGAUGGCCGUGGUGCUGGUUUGAGUGGAAGUCAUUGUGGUUGUCACGCUGCGCAUGCGCUUGAUCCAACCAAACAUUCCCAUCGCAGGCUCUGCUCCUGAAUGACCAACCGGCAGAACCAAUACGUCGUAGGGAUAGGUAUCUGUUGUGUCUUGACCCUCCAGAGCAACCCCGGACUCACUCCUUAAUCAGACCAGAGGCAGAGAAGCUUCAACAUGAACGAGUGCUUUACUGAACGACUCCGGGAAGUGGCCCCAAACCCCAGGGACAGCGGUCCUUUAUACAGUGAGGGAAAAAAGUAUUUGAUCCCCUGCUGAUUUUGUAUGUUUGCCCACUGACAAAGAAAUGAUCAGUCUAUAAUUUUAAUGGUAGGUUUAUAUGAACAGUGAGAGAUAGAAUAACAACAACAAAAUCCAGAAAAACGCAUGUCAAAAAUGUUAAAAAUGGAUUUGCAUUUUAAUGAGGGAAAUAAGUAUUUGACCCCUCUGCAAAACAUGACUUAGUACUUGGUGGCAAAACCCUUGUUGGCAAUCACAGAGGUCAGACAUUUCUUGUAGUUGGCCACCAGGUUUGCACACAUCUCAGGAGGGAUUUUGUCCCACUCUUUGCAGAUCUUCUCCAAGUCAUUAAGGUUUUGAGGCUGACAUUUGGCACUCGAACCUUCAGCUCCCUCCACAGAUUUUCUAUGGGAUUAAGGUCUGGAGACUGGCUAGGCCACUCCAGGACCUGAAUGUGCUUCUUCUUGAGCCACUUCUUUGUUGCCUUUUGCCGUGUGUUUUGGGUCAUUGUCAUGCUGGAAUACCCAUCCACGACCCAUUUUCAAUGCCCUGGCUGAGGGAAGGAGGUUCUCACCCAAGAUUUUACGGUACAUGGCCCCGUCCAUCGUCCCUUUGAUGCGGUGAAAUUGUCCUCUCCCCUUAGCAGAAAAACACCUCCAAAGCAUAAUGUUUCCACCUCCAUGUUUGACGGUGGGGAUGGUGUUCUUGGGGUCAUAGGCAGCAUUCCUCCUCCAAACACGGCAAGUUGAGUUGAUGUGUGUUACCAACUGUUUUAUUGGUGACUGGUCCCAGCUGCCUUGAGAUCAUUGACAAGGUCCUCCCGUGUAGUUCUGGGCUGAUUCCUCACUGUUCUCAUGAUCAUUGCAACUCCACGAGGUGAGAUCUUGCGUGGAGCCCCAGGCCGAGGGGAGAUUGACAGUUCCUUUGUGUUUCUUUCAUUUGCGAAUAAUCGCACCAACUGUUGUCACCUUCUCACCAAGCUGCUUGACGAUGGUCUUGUAGCACAUUCCAGUCUUGUGUAGGUCUACAAUCUUGUCCCUGACAUCCUUGGAGAGCUCUUUGGUCUUGGCCAUGGGGGAGAGUUUAGAAUCUGUUUGAUUAAUUGUUUCUGUGAACAGGUGUCUUUUUAUACAGGUAACAAGCUGAGAUUAGGAGCACCCCCUUUAAGAGUGUGCUCCUAAUCUCAGCUGAUUACCUGCAUAAAAGACACCUGGGAGCCAGAAAUCCUUCUGCUUGAGAGGGGGUCAAAUACUUAUUUCCCUCAUUAAAAUGCAAUUCAAUUUAUAAAAUUGUUGACAUGCGUUUUUCUGGAUUUUUGUUGUUAUUCUGUCUCUCAC